rnacentral:piRNA from 1 species
UGGCCUUGAACUCUUGAGAGAUCCUCUGAC